GGGGAUCUGGUUUAGGGGUAUAACAUUCCUUUCGCACUUUGUGGUAUCACAACAGUAGACUAGGAAAGGUCUUGGGUUCGAUUCCCAAGUUCUCCA